AUUGAACGCUGGCGGCAGGCUUAACACAUGCAAGUCGAGCGAGCGGCGGACGGGUGAGUAAUGUCUGGGAAACUGCCUGAUGGAGGGGGAUAACUACUGGAAACGGUAGCUAAUACCGCAUACCAUCAGAUGUGCCCAGAUGGGAUUAGCUAGUAGGUGGGGUAAUGGCUCACCUAGGCGCCGAUCCCUAGCUGGGCUGAGAGGAUGACCAGCCAAACUGGAACGGGGAAACGGGCCAGACUCCUACGGUAGGCAGCAGGGGGGAAUAUGGCACAAUGGGCGCAAGCCUGAUGCAGCCAUGCCGCGUGUGGGAAGAAGGCCUUCGGGUUGUAAAGCACUUUCAGCGAGGAGGCGUUACUCGCAGAAGAAGCACCGGCUAACUCCGUGCCAGCAGCCGCGGUAAUUC
rnacentral:rRNA from 1 species